ACCGGGUCGCGGCGGCCGAGGCUCGGGCCUCCAGGACCACUGGCUGCCCAUGAGAGACGAAGGAUGGCAUCCAAGGGGGCCGGCGUGUCUUUCUCCCGCAAGAGCUGUAGGCUGACCUCAGAUGCUGAGAAAUCCAGGGUCACAGGGACCCGCUGCAGCUGGGAGGGGAGCUGUCCAGGAGGCCGGCCUGGGAAUGAGCACAGGCCUGCGGCUGGCAGAGAGCCGGGUCGAGCCAGCCCUGGAGAAGCAGGCCCAGCUGGAGGAGCAGCUGCGGGACAAGGUGCUCCACGAGAAGGACCUGUCCCAGCAGCAGAUGCAAAGCGACCUGGACAAGGCUGACCUCAGUGCCAGGAGGGUCCCUGGUGGGUGCUGCAUGAGGCAGGCGUCACUGCAGAAGAGUGACAGAGCUGGGCCUGGCAGUGAAGCGUCUACAGAAGCAGAAUCUGGAGAAGGAUCAGGUCGACAAGGACCUCACCGAGAAGCUUGAGGCCCUGGAAUCCCUGCGGCUACAGGAGCAGGCGGCCCUGGAGACAGAGGAUGGAGAGGGGCUACAGCGGAGCCUAAGGGACCUGGCACAGGCCGUCCUGUCUGACGCUGAGAGCGGCAGCCUGCGUCCAACAGCGUCCGACCGCAGCCUGCGGGGGCUCUCGGGCCAGCGGACCCCGUCUCCACCGCGGCGCUCCUCGCCGGGCCGAGGCCGUUCGCCCCGCAGAGGCCCCUCCCCGGCCUGCUCAGAAGACUCCACGCUCGCUUGCCCUGAUUCUCUCCGCCCUGCACUUUUGCCAGCUGAAGGUCCAGGGAGAAGAGCAACCUGGUCCACAGCCUGCAGGUGGCCCAGCAGCAGGCCGAGGAGCUGCCGCAGGAGCGGGAGAAGCUGCAGGUUGCCCAGGAGGAGCUGCAGCGCCAGCGGGACCGGCUGGAGGAAGAGCAGGAAGAGGCGGUGCAGAAUGGCGCACGGGUUCGCCGGGAGCUUGAGCGCAGCCAUAGACAACUAGAGCAGCUGGAAGGGAAGCGCUCAGUCCUGGCCAAGGAGCUGGUGGAGGUGAGGGAGGCGCUGAGCCGCGCCACGCUGCAACGGGACAUGCUGCAGGCCGAGAAGACCGAGGUGGCCGAGGCGCUGACCAAGGGUGAGGCUGGCCGCAUGGAGCUCGAGCUCUCCGUGACCAAGCUGAGGGCAGAGGAGGCCUCCCUGCAGGACUCCCUGUCCAAGCUGAGCGCCCUCAACGAGAGCCUUGCUCAGGACAAGUUGGAUCUGAACUGCCUUGUCACCCAGCUGGAGGAAGAAAAGGCCAUGCUGCAGGGCCGGCAGCGGCAGGCGGAGCAGGAGGCCACAGUGGCGCCGGCAGAGCAGGAGUGGCUGGAGGAGCUGUGGUUGGAGCAGGAGGUGGCACGGCAGGGCCUGGAGGGCUCCCUAUGAGUGGCGGAGCAGGCCCAGGAGGCGCUGGAGCAACAGCUCCCCACACUGCACCAUGAGCUCAGUUGGCUGCAGGAGCAGCUAGCACAGGUAGGCCAAACUGUGUGUGGGGUGGUCUGGAGAGCAUGUGGGGCAGGCCAGGCUCGCAGCCUCCUGCAUCCAGUCCUGGGUUAAGUCACAGGCACUGGAGCCUGCUUCUGGGUUAAAUCCAGUCCCACUUCUCCUAGCUGGGGACCUUGGACAAGCUGCCCAACCUCCCAUACCUCAGUUGCCCCAUUUAUAACAUGGGGCUAGCCGGGUGCAGUGGCUCACGCCUAUAAUCCCAGCAGUUGGGGAAGCCGAGGCGGGUGGAUCACCUGAGGUCCGGAGAUCAAGACCAUCCUGGCUAACACGGUGAAACCCUAUCUCUACAAAAAAUUAGCUGGGUGUGGUGGCACGCGCCUGUAGUCCCAGCUACUCAGGAGGCUGAGGCAGGAGAAUCGCUUGAACC
ensembl:lncRNA novel transcript